rnacentral:tRNA from 1 species
GGGCCGGUGGUCUAGCCCGGUUAUGAUUAGGUCAAACUCCUUCUGCGAAGGUCACGAGUUCAACUCUCGUCCGGCCCA